GGUAGGGGAGCGUACUGUACGGGUAGAAGGCCAAGCGGAAGCGAGGCUGGACUGUACAGUAGAGAGAAUGCCGGCAUGAGUAACGAGAGUAAGGUGAGAAACCUUACCGCCGGAAGCCUGAGGUUUCCUGGGGAAGGGUAAUCCACCCAGGGUAAGUCGGGGCCUAAGCCGAGGCUUAAAGCGUAGGCGAUGGGGAACCGGUAGAGAAUCCGGUACCACCGAGGGCCGCAAAGAGAUGCGGGGACGCAGCGAGAUAGGUGGAGCGUGCGGUUGGUAGGGCACGUCCAAUCAGGCACCGAAGGGUACGUAGGCAAAUCCGCGUACUGGCAGGGGUCUGAGAAGGGGAGCCGGAAGGCGAAGCCACCGAAGCAGCUGCCGAGAAAAGCCGCUAUCGAGGCCUGAGGUGCCCGUACUACAAACCGACACAGGUAGGCGAGGAGAGAAUCCACAGGCGAGCGGGAGAACCCUCAUUAAGGAACUCGGCAAAAUGACUCCGUAACUUCGGGAGAAGGAGUGCCGAAAGGCCGCAGAGAAGAGGCCCAAGCGACUGUUUACCAAAAACACAGGUCUCUGCUAAGUCGGAAGACGAAGUAUAGGGGCUGACGCCUGCCCGGUGCUGGAAGGUUAAGGGGAAGUGUGAGAGCACUGAACCGAAGCCCCAGUGAACGGCGGCCGUAACUAUAACGGUCCUAAGGUAGCGAAAUUCCUUGUCGGGUAAGUUCCGACCCGCACGAAAGGCGUAACGACUUGGGCGCUGUCUUGAUGAGGGGCCCGGUGAAAUUGUAGUACUCGUGAAGAUGCGAGUUACCCGCGAUUGGACAGAAAGACCCCGUGGAGCUUUACUGUAGCCUGUCACUGGAUUUUGGUAAUUCUUGUACAGGAUAGGUGGGAGACAGAGAAGGUAGGGCGCCAGCCUUACUGGAGUCGACGUUGGGAUACCACCCUGGGAUUACCGGAAUUCUAACCUAUAGCCGUGAAACCGGCGUAGGGACAAUGGCAGGUGGGCAGUUUGACUGGGGCGGUCGCCUCCUAAAGGGUAACGGAGGCGCCCAAAGGUUACCUCAGCGCGGACGGGAAUCGCGCGAAAGAGUGCAAAGGCAGAAGGUAGCCUGACUGCGAGAGAGACAUCUCGAGCAGGGACGAAAGUCGGGCUUAGUGAUCCGGCGGCAGUGAGUGGGAACGCCGUCGCUCAACGGAUAAAAGCUACCCCGGGGAUAACAGGCUGAUCUCCCCCAAGAGUCCACAUCGACGGGGAGGUUUGGCACCUCGAUGUCGGCUCAUCGCAUCCUGGGGCUGAAGUAGGUCCCAAGGGUUGGGCUGUUCGCCCAUUAAAGCGGUACGCGAGCUGGGUUCAGAACGUCGUGAGACAGUUCGGUCCCUAUCCGUCGCGGGCGUAGGAAACUUGAGAGGCACUGCCCCUAGUACGAGAGGACCGGGGUGGACGAACCGAUGGUGUACCAGUUGCACCGCCAGGUGCACAGCUGGGUAGCCAAGUUCGGAAGGGAUAAACGCUGAAAGCAUCUAAGCGUGAAGCCCGCCUCAAGAUUAGGUUUCCCAUCCGAGAGGGGUAAGACACCUCGAAGACUACGAGGUAGAUAGGCCGGGGGUGUAAGAGUGGAAACACUCUUAGCUGACCGGUACUAAUCAGUCGAGGACUUGACCGA
rnacentral:rRNA from 1 species